rnacentral:rRNA from 1 species
GUCCUAGCCGUAAACGGUGAUCACUAGGUGUUGGAGGCAUCGACCCCUCCAGUGCCGCAGCUAACGCAUUAAGUGAUCCGCCUGGGGAGUACGGCCGCAAGGUUGAAACUCAAAGGAAUUGACGGGGGCCCGCACAAGCGGUGGAGCAUGUGGUUUAAUUCGACGCAACGCGAAGAACCUUACCCAGACUUGACAUGCAUUGGACAGGUGUGGAAACACACCCUCCCUUCGGGGCCGAUGCACAGGUGCUGCAUGGCUGUCGU